rnacentral:rRNA from 1 species
GAUGAACGCUGGCGGCGUGCCUAAUACAUGCGAGUCGAACGCUGAAGGAGGAGCUUGCUCUUCUGGAUGAGUUGCGAACGGGUGAGUAACGCGUAGGUAACCUGCCUGGUAGCGGGGGAUAACUAUUGGAAACGAUAGCUAAUACCGCAUGACAACAGUUAUUGCAUGAUAACUGUUUAAAAGGGGCAACUGCUCCACUACCAGAUGGACCUGCGUUGUAUUAGCUAGUUGGUGAGGUAACGGCUCACCAAGGCGACGAUACACAGCCGACCUGAGAGGGUGAUCGGCCACACUGGGACUGAGACACGGCCCAGACUCCUACGGGAGGCAGCAGUAGGGAAUCUUCGGCAAUGGACGGAAGUCUGACCGAGCAACGCCGCGUGAGUGAAGAAGGUUUUCGGAUCGUAAAGCUCUGUUGUAAGAGAAGAACGAGUGUGAGAGUGGAAAGUUCACACUGUGACGGUAUCUUACCAGAAAGGGACGGCUAACUACGUG